UACGUAGGGAGCAAGCGUUAUCCGGAUUUAUUGGGUGUAAAGGGUGCGUAGACGGGAAUUUAAGUUAGUUGUGAAAUCCCUCGGCUUAACUGAGGAACUGCAACUAAAACUGAAUUUCUUGAGUGCGGGAGAGGAAAGUGGAAUUCCUAGUGUAGCGGUGAAAUGCGUAGAUAUAUGGAAGAACACCAGUGGCGAAAGCGGCUCUCUGGUCUGUAACUGACGCUGAGGUUCGAAAGCGUGGGGAGCAAACAGG
rnacentral:rRNA from 1 species